GGAAAUUCCAUCUGGGAACGACAAAUUUGGGGUGGGAGGAAUUUAUUUCCAACAGAACCAGAGCAGGAGAAAAAGAGCCCAAAAUCCAACUUUGCCCUCCCCCAAUUCCCGGCGUUCCCUCGGUCCCUCCGGAGUUUUCCGUGAUUUCUCAACUUUGGGAAGAGUUUUCCAUGGAUUUCUUGGUCAUGGGAGAAUUUUCCAUGGAUUUCUUGGCCAUGGGAAGAGUUUUCCAAGGAUUUCUCAGCUAUGGGAAUUUUCCAUGGAUUUCUUGGCUAUGGGAGAAUUUUCCAUGGAUUUCUUGGCUAUGGGAAAGAAUCUUCCAUGGAUUUCUCACCUUUGGGAAGAGUUUUCCAUGGAUUUCUUGGCCAUGGGAGAGUUUUCCAUGGAUUUCUUGGUUAUGGGAAGAGUUUUCCAUGGAUUUCUCAAUUAUGGGAAGAAUUUUCCAUGGAUUUCUCCAAGGUGAAUCCGUCCCACAGCGAGUUUUCCAUGGAUUUCUCCAUGAAUCCAUCCCACUGCAAGUUUUCCAUGGAUUUCUCAACGAUGGAAUUUUCCAUGGAUUUCUCCAAGAUGAAUCCGUCCCCAGGCAAGUUUUCCAUGGGUUUCUCCAUGAAUCCAUCCCCAGGUAAGUUUUCCAUGGAUUUCUCAAUUAUGGGAAGAAUUUUCCAUGGAUUUCUCCAAGGUGAAUCCAUCCCACAGCAAGUUUUCCAUGGAUUUCUCCAUGAAUCCAUCCCCAGGUAAGUUUUCCAUAGAUUUCUCAACGAUGGAAUUUUCCAUGGAUUUCUCCAAGAUGAUUCCAUCCCACAGUGAGUUUUCCAUGGAUUUCUCAACUUUUGGAAGAGUUUUCCAUGGAUUUCUUGGCCUGGGAAAGAGUUUUCCAUGGAUUUCUCAAUUAUGGGAAGAAUUUUCCAUGGAUUUCUUGGCUAUGGGAAAGUUUUCCAUGGAUUUCUUGGCCAUGGGAAGAGUUUUCCAUGGAUUUCUUGGUUAUAGGAAAGAAUUUUCCUUGGAUUUCUCAGCUAUGGAAUUUUCCAUGGAUUUCUCCAAGGUGGAUCUGUCCCACAAUGAGUUUUCCAUGGAUUUCUCAACUUUGGGAAGAGUUUUCCAUGGAUUUCUCAGCUAUGGAAUUUUCCAUGGAUUUCUCAACUUUGGGAAGAGUUUUCC
rnacentral:lncRNA from 1 species